GUGAAUUAAAAUAAGGUAUAAUAGGAAAUUAAGUGCAAAAAUACACUUUCUUAAUUUUAUUUUUUUCUAAAACGACAAGUAAUUUGAAACAGGGGGAGUAUAUAGUAUUUAUUUUUUCAAUCUCUUUAAAUCAUUGCAUAGAUUAACGUUGGUUGACAUGAUGUCGAUCUUAGAAAAAAGAGGGGAAAAAAAUUAGGUUAAGUAAUUAGGUUUAGGUUUGCGACAAUGGUCCGACCUUUCUUUUAGCUCAGAUGAACUAUUUAUAUUUUUACUUUUGAUCAAUAGUUAAACCCUAAACCCUAAACAAGUUCAAGAGUUAGUUCGUCUUCUUAUAAUAGUCGAACCUUUUCAUUUUGAUCGGAUAAAUUUCAGGU
rnacentral:lncRNA from 1 species